rnacentral:misc_RNA from 1 species
GCUACUACCGAUUGAAUGGUUUAGUGAGGACUCCUGAUUGGCGCCGCCGCCCCGGCAACGGAGCAGCGGACUGCCGAAAAGGUGUUCAAACUUGAUCAUUUAGAGGAAGUAAAAGUCGUAACAAGGUUUCCGUAGGUGAACCUGCAGAAGGAUCAAGAUGGGAAGAGCGUCGUAUGGGGAGAGCGUGUAUAUCUCUGUGGUCGCUGUAUCAUAAAAAAAAAAACACAUAAUACAAUGAGAGCACAGCCGAGCGCGUAGAAUAGAGACACUAUAUAC